rnacentral:rRNA from 1 species
AUUGAACGCUAGCGGGAUGCCUUACACAUGCAAGUCGAACGGAGUGGCGAACGGGAGAGUAAUGUAUAGGAACGUGCCCAGUAGCGGGGGAGAACUACGCGAAAGCGUAGCUAAUACCGCAUACUAUUGGAGUGGCCGAUACCGGAUUAGCUAGAGUGUGGGGGAACGGCUCACCAAGGCGACGAUCCGUAGCUGGUCUGAGAGGACGACCAGCCACACUGGAACUGAGACACGGCCCAGACUCCUACGGGAGGCAGCAGUGGGGAAUAUUGGACAAUGGGGGAAAGCCUGAUGCAGCCAUGCCGCGUGUGCGAUGAAGGCCUUCGGGUUGUAAAGCACUUUUGGCAGGGAGGCGGUACCUGCAGAAUAAGCACCGGCUAACUACGUGCCAGCAGCCGCGGUAAUUC